rnacentral:rRNA from 1 species
AUUGAACGCUGGCGGCAUGCUUUACACAUGCAAGUCGAACGGUAACAGGCCGCAAGGUGCUGACGAGUGGCGAACGGGUGAGUAAUGCAUCGGAACGUGCCCAGUCGUGGGGGAUAACGCAGCGAAAGCUGCGCUAAUACCGCAUACGAUCUAUGGAUGAAAGCGGGGGACCGAAAGGCCUCGCGCGAUUGGAGCGGCCGAUGUCAGAUUAGGUAGUUGGGGGGGUAAAGGCCCACCAAGCCAACGAUCCGUAGCUGGUCUGAGAGGACGACCAGCCACACUGGGACUGAGACACGGCCCAGACUCCUACGGGAGGCAGCAGUGGGGAAUUUUGGACAAUGGGCGCAAGCCUGAUCCAGCAAUGCCGCGUGCAGGAAGAAGGCCUUCGGGUUGUAAACUGCUUUUGUAUGGAACGAAACGGUCCGGGUUAAUACCCUGGGCUAAUGACGGUACCGUAAGAAUAAGCACCGGCUAACUACGUGCCAGCCGCCGCGGUAAAAC